AGGCAGUCCCACCCUGAGAAGGGACCAAGCACAGAGGCGGCCACUGCAGCCAACUGCACAGCUGGACCCGGGUAGGGCUCCUCCCUCGGGACCUCCAGAUGGCUCCUCACCCUUGAGGUCCCUUCUUUUUGGUCAGAGCUACUCUAGUCGCACCCACUCAGUCGUGAACUGGAGCAGCAGCCAGAGAGAGAGUAAGACAAUGGUGAAUGAGAAGAGGCCAGGUGACAGGAACCUGCAAGCUCAUCCAUCCACAAACAUCCACUGAGCACCUGCCACGGGCUGGGCCCCGUGCAUUCAACAACAAAAUGAACUAAACUGAGCUUCCAGCAGUGAUGGGACCCACUCAGCAUCGCCAUUCUGCACAGCCUAUCCGCAGCCCCUCUCCGAUAACCCACCAUCAUUUCCCACCAAACAAAUGAAGAAAGAGUGCGGCCUUCAGUUCAGUCUUCAAUGUGUCUUCAUUUGUUUGCAACCGCUGAACACAGCUAUCUGAUAUCACUGUGGCCUGGGACUCUCAGCUUCCAGCAAGUGGGAGCCCCACCUGGCUCAUCCACUUCAAAAGAGGAUUGCAUGCUAAUGAAUUAAUACAUACAAGAAAGUGUUGCAAACUCUACAAUCCUAUAUAAAUCUUAAGAAGAUUAGAAGUUUACCAAAUGCUCUGUAAUGCAUUUUGAAGGGCUAUCCCUUAAAAGAAACUGGAAAUCAGCAAGACAAGCUUUUCCUUCUUUUAGUGUCUUUAUUUAGCCUGUACGUACUACUUGCACACAUUAGUUUCACAGUUAAUUUUACCGCCUUAAAAACAGGACUCAGAUCAAAACCUAAACAUGAGAACUCAGCCACUGACAGUGAUUUUCCUGGUGGCUCCCGGAAGUCAUUGCUCUCAGAGCUUCCAUUUCCCCCUCCCAUUAAGCAAAGGAAAUAGGAGGGGAAGACAGCAAUUCCACAAGGUCUUUGUGCACUUUGAAACUUUCGUAGCUUCAGUUGUUGGUGUGACAAAAGCAAUCUGUGGGCAGAAUCCAGAAGCAAGUAUAUGAACAUUUGGGGAAGGGUGUUGCUUAGUGGGUCACGUUGUCUCCUGCCAAAUUCUGUGACAACCCUAAAGUGCGAGAAGGGUUCCGAGGGGAGCCGAAUGCUGCAGUCAAGCUUCAUAUCCGCCAAGACAAAGGGAUUUAAUCUGCUUGGGGACGCUUCUGCUUGCUGAUUUUAUAUACUAACUAAGUCAUCUGAGUCUAAAGGAUAAAAGUUGAAAGCUGCCUAAGAACUUUAUCCAGGGCCUCUACUUUCCCAGACCAAGUUGAUACUGGAAAGAGAGUCUGGUGUUUCAACCAGAGUUCAGGACCCACGAAUGUGCAGCUUCUAUACUAUAGUGAACAUUUCAACGACUCCCACAGCCAGGGUUCCCAUGUCUUCAGGUCCUGCUGAGAAACAACUAACAAUCCUGCCAGCACCACCCUCAACACACAGAAAAAAAGAGGCAAAGAAAACCUCUUGCCGGGCGUGGUGGCUCACGCCUGUAAUCCCAGCACUUUGGGAGGCUGAGGCAGGCGGAUCACAAGGUCAGGAGAUCGAGACCAUCCUGGCUAACACGGUGAAACCCCUCUCUACUAAAAAUACAAAGAAUUAGCCGGGUGUGGUGGCGCACGCCUGUAGUCCCAGCUACUCGGGAGGCUGAGGCAGGAGAAUGGCGGGAACCCGGGAGGCAGAGCUUGCAGUGAGCCAAGAUCGUGCCACUGCACUCCAGCCUGGGUGACAGAGCGAGACUCCACCUCAAAAAAAAAAAAAAAA
rnacentral:lncRNA from 1 species